rnacentral:rRNA from 1 species
GAGUUUGAUCUUGGCUCAGAAUUAACGCUGGCAGAGUGCAUAACACAUGCAAGUCGAGCGGGCUAAUCUGCGAUUACAUCAAGGGUUAGCUAGCGGCAGACGAGUGAGUAACACGUAAGCAACCUUCCCUGGAAUGGGGGAUAACGCACCGAAAGGUGUGCUAAUACCCCGUACUAUCCCUGAACGGCAUCGUUUGAGGAUGAAAGGCUCCGGCCGAUCCAGGAGGGGCUUGCGUCCCAUCAGCUAGUUGGCGGUGUAAUAGACCACCAAGGCUAUGACGGGUACCCGGCCUGAAAGGGCAGACGGGCACGAUGGCACUGAGACACGGGCCAUACUCCUACGGGAGGCAGCAGUGGGGAAUUUUGGACAAUGGGCGAAAGCCUGAUCCAGCAACUCUGCGUGAGGGACGAAGGUCUUCGGAUUGUAAACCUCUUUUGCUUGGGACGAAUAGCCCGCAAGGGUCUGACGGUACCAAGCGAAUAAGCCACGGCUAACUAUGUGCCAGCAGCCGCGGUAAC